ACUCCUACGGGAGGCAGCAGUGGGGAAUAUUGGACAAUGGGGGCAACCCUGAUCCAGCCAUGCCGCGUGUAUGAAGAAGGCCCUCGGGUUGUAAAGUACUUUCAGUGGUGAGGAAGGUUGCGUGGUUAAUACCCACGUAAUUUGACGUUAGCCACAGAAGAAGCACCGGCUAACUCCGUGCCAGCAGCGCGGUAAUACGGAGGGUGCAAGCGUUAAUCGGAAUUACUGGGCGUAAAGCGCAUGCAGGCGGUU
rnacentral:rRNA from 1 species